AUUGAACGCUGGCGGCAGGCCUAACACAUGCAAGUCGAGCGAGCGGCGGACGGGUGAGUAAUGUAUGGGGACUGCCCGAUAGAGGGGGAUAACUACUGGAAACGGUGGCUAAUACCGCAUACUAUCGGAUAACCCAUAUGGGAUUAGCUAGUAGGUGGGGUAAAGGCUCACCUAGGCGACGAUCUCUAGCUGGUCUGAGAGGAUGAUCAGCCACACGGGGACUGUGACCCGGCCCAGACUCCUACGGGGGCAGCAGUGGGGAAUAUUGCACAAUUGGCGCAAGCCUGAUGCAGCCAUGCCGCGAGUAAGAAGAAGGCCUUAGGGUUGGAAAGGACUUUCAGCGGGGAGGCGUUUCCCGCAGAAGAAGCACCGGCUAACUCCGUGCCAGCAGGCGCGGUAAUAC
rnacentral:rRNA from 1 species